GUUGAGGUUAAGGUAAUGAUAUAUAUCAUCGUGUACUAGCUACGCAAAACUAGAAUUUGGAAAAGGAACCAAACUGACAGUUUUAGCCACAAAUGUGACUGAACCUAAAGUCAAGAUCCUGCCACCUUCUCCAAAAGAACUCUGUUCUCAGAAUAAGAAAGAUAAAAAACUCUCAACUUUAGUGUGUGUGGCGACCGGCUUUUAUCCCGAUCAUGUGAUCAUGAGCUGGAAAGUGAACGACCAAGAGAGAAAGGACAAUAUAUCGACGGACCACAUAGCCAUACAGGACAAGACGACAUUAAUGUACAACAUCAGCAGCAGAAUGAAAGUUUAUGUCUCAGAAUGGAUGGAUCCCAUCAAUAAAUUCACCUGCACUGUCCAAUUCUACAACGGAGAUCAUUAUAUCAAUGUCAGCAACACCAUCAAAGGUCAAAAAGUGAGGCCGAAGGGAUUGAAGCUGGUUGGCUUUGGCUACAUCGUGUUUCUCAGCAAGAGCUUCCUGUAUGCACUGGUUGUGUUUGCUAUGAUCUGGAAACUCAAGUUUUCAAUGAAGACAAAAGAAAUUCCAGAAGAGUGAGAUACAUCGAACCUGUCCAAAAAUCUA